ensembl:lncRNA
UACAAAUUAAUCAGUGUGUGUGUGUGUGUGUGUGUGUGUGUGUGUGUGUGUGUGUGUGUGUGUGUGUGUGUGUGUGUGUGUGUGUGUGUGUGUGUGUGUGUGUGUGUGUGUGUGUGUGUGUGUUUGUCUAAGAAACAACUUCCUGCUAUGAAAAAGGGUGAAAGGUCACAAACCCGGGUUUGGGCAGAAUAGAAGCGUUGGUUUCUAUUAUUGAUGUUACUAUGUGGACCGGACUGGGUCUGUGUUUUUAUUUUAUUUACCACAACUAGAACCCGUGGAACCGUCUAGACGUGUUGUUUCCUUGUGAUGAGAUUGCUGUGGAACAGGAUUAUUAUUAUUAUUGUUAUUGUUAUUAUUAUUAUGCAUCUGAUCAUCUAUUACUCUAAAUGACGACGAGCAAUAAAGUUGAGAUCCUUUUUUCAAAUAUAUAUAUUGCAUGUUUUACUAAAAAACGUUGGUCUUAGUCAAUAAAAAG